rnacentral:rRNA from 1 species
GACGACCAUACGCACACCGGUGGCCCCACUCCUUCCCAUCCCGAAACAGGACAGUGAAACGGCCUUCGGCGCGAUGAUAUGGACGUACGUCUGUGAAAGUAGGUCAUCGUCAGCU